AAUUAAUGAGUCUGAAUUAGACAUAUAUUUUGAAAAUAUAUUAAAGAAAAAUAUUUUUCUAUUAAUUU
rnacentral:tRNA from 1 species